UUUCUGAUAUUCAAAUCCCCUUAAUUUUCAUCUGAUCUUCAAACCCUUAAUUUUGAUCUUUCAGUCAGCAUUUCUACUUUAUACAAUCUCAUUUCAAAUAGUUUCCAUUCAAAUCUCUUUCUCUCUCUUUCUGUUAAUUUUCAAGCACCGGAGCUUUGGCCCUCUCUGUUCCUGCUGUCUGAUUUCUCUUCGUCUAAUAAUAUUUUGCUUGUGCUUUAUUUUCUUUUCAGUUGCGCUGUUAUUUAUAUUGUUUCCUAUUCUUUUCGUUUCUGUUCUUGUUUUCUUCUCGUAACCAUGGAUGCAGGAUCUUUGAGUUCUUCUGGAGCCCUCAAAGAUCGGAUGACGCUAUCCUCUUCGAGAACAGUUUAUUCAAAGAAAGAGUUCCCAAAAAAAUGUAAAGAAAUUAUGGCAAGAUUUUUUUCCCUGAUUAUAAUUUGUGUAUAUUUUGCAUGAUUGUCGGGGCAACAUUUUAGAUUAGUGUUUAAAAUCUAAGUAAUUAGAAGUUCUAAUUUUGUAGAAAUGUUCAGAAAACUUGAAAUUAGUUUAAUAUUUUCAAAGAUUUUGAAUGGCUUUGAAAACUAAAGAUGAUAAAUCUUCAUGUCUUACUUUGAAUUUGUUUAUGGAAAGCCACCUGCACCAGCUGACUUAAUUCCGGGAAAAUGCACCAUCUCUUCCUCUAUUAUUUCCCAACACUACAAUUUGAACCCUUUGGGGGCAUGCCGUUUUUAACACAUGCACCUCCUCCUGCAAUGUUCUUUCAGGUUGCCAAACCUCUCUCGCCAAUACAAUAGUCAACCAAAUUGAUUAUUACUUCAAUUGAUUAUUAUUUCAAUGAUGCUAAUUUAGUGAGGGAUGAGUAUUUAAGGUUCAACAUGGAUGAACAAAGAUGGGUUCCAAUUUCUCUGAUUGCAAGCUUCCUCGUCUGCAACUAAGGUACACAAUAAAUUGCUCAACAAGCUUUAUGAAUGCACCUGUCCAAUUCUUUGAUCAGACCCCUGGUGGGAGAAUACUGAACAGGUUAUCUUCAGAUCUUUAUACCAUUGAUGAUUCACUUCCAUUCAUUCUGAACAUUCUCCUAGCGAAUUCGUAGGCCUGUUGGGUAUUACAAUAAUUUUGUGUUACGUACAGGUCUUCUUCUUACUCUUGCUAUUGCCAUUUUGUUAUAUCUACAGUAGAUUUCAGUUCUUCUACAGGUCAACAUCGAGAGAAUUACUACGACUGGACAGUGUUUUACGCUCUCCAAUAUACUCAUCAUUCACGGAAACACUUGAUGGAUCAUCAACUAUUAGGGCGUUUAAAUCUGAGCUUCACAACUCCAUUAAUGAAUCAUGGUGUGGUAAAACAAUUAGACUCUGAUAACCUGCUGCCACUACGGACUGAUAUGGGUCCUUCUUCCUGUCAUGAUGUGAUUUUAUCCUGCUGGCAAGAUGAACUGAGUAACAAUGGCU